rnacentral:rRNA from 1 species
AUUAGUGGCGAACGGGUGAGUAACACGUGAGUAACCUGCCCUUAACUCUGGGAUAAGCCUGGGAAACUGGGUCUAAUACCGGAUAUGACUCCUCAUCGCAUGGUGGGGGGUGGAAAGCUUUUGUGGUUUUGGAUGGACUCGCGGCCUAUCAGCUUGUUGGUGAGGUAAUGGCUCACCAAGGCGACGACGGGUAGCCGGCCUGAGAGGGUGACCGGCCACACUGGGACUGAGACACGGCCCAGACUCCUACGGGAGGCAGCAGUGGGGAAUAUUGCACAAUGGGCGGAAGCCUGAUGCAGCGACGCCGCGUGAGGGAUGACGGCCUUCGGGUUGUAAACCUCUUUCAGUAGGGAAGAAGCGAGAGUGACGGUACCUGCAGAAGAAGCGCCGGCUAACUACGUGCCAGCAGCCGCGGUAAUACGUAGGGCGCAAGCGUUAUCCGGAAUUAUUGGGCGUAAAGAGCUCGUAGGCGGUUUGUCGCGUCUGCCGUGAAAGUCCGGGGCUCAACUCCGGAUCUGCGGUGGGUACGGGCAGACUAGAGUGAUGUAGGGGAGACUGGAAUUCCUGGUGUAGCGGUGAAAUGCGCAGAUAUCAAGAGGAACACCGAUGGCGAAGGCAGGUCUCUGGGCAUUAACUGACGCUGAGGAGCGAAAGCAUGGGGAGCGAACAGGAUUAGAUACCCUGGUAGUCCAUGCCGUAAACGUUGGGCACUAGGUGUGGGGGACAUUCCACGUUUUCCGCGCCGUAGCUAACGCAUUAAGUGCCCCGCCUGGGGAGUACGGCCGCAAGGCUAAAACUCAAAGGAAUUGACGGGGGCCCGCACAAGCGGCGGAGCAUGCGGAUUAAUUCGAUGCAACGCGAAGAACCUUACCAAGGCUUGACAUGAACCGGUAAGACCUGGAAACAGGUCCCCCACUUGUGGUCGGUUUACAGGUGGUGCAUGGUUGUCGUCAGCUCGUGUCGUGAGAUGUUGGGUUAAGUCCCGCAACGAGCGCAACCCUCGUUCCAUGUUGCCAGCGCGUUAUGGCGGGGACUCAUGGGAGACUGCCGGGGUCAACUCGGAGGAAGGUGGGGACGACGUCAAAUCAUCAUGCCCCUUAUGUCUUGGGCUUCACGCAUGCUACAAUGGCCGGUACAAAGGGUUGCGAUACUGUGAGGUGGAGCUAAUCCCAAAAAGCCGGUCUCAGUUCGGAUUGGGGUCUGCAACUCGACCCCAUGAAGUCGGAGUCGCUAGUAAUCGCAGAUCAGCAACGCUGCGGUGAAUACGUUCCCGGGCCUUGUACACACCGCCCGUCAAGUCACGAAAGUUGGUAACACCCGAAGCCGGUGGCC